GGGGUAUUGUUCUUCGGAAUGAGAGACCGGCGCACGGGUGCGUAACGCGUAUGCAAUCUACCUUUUACAGAGGGAUAGCCCAGAGAAAUUUGGAUUAAUACCUCAUAGUAUGCAGAGUUGGCAUCAACACUGCAUUAAAGUCACAACGGUAAAAGAUGAGCAUGCGUCCCAUUAGCUAGUUGGUAAGGUAACGGCUUACCAAGGCUACGAUGGGUAGGGGUCCUGAGAGGGAGAUCCCCCACACUGGUACUGAGACACGGACCAGACUCCUACGGGAGGCAGCAGUGAGGAAUAUUGGACAAUGGGCGCAAGCCUGAUCCAGCCAUGCCGCGUGCAGGAUGACGGUCCUAUGGAUUGUAAACUGCUUUUGCACAGGAAGAAACAACGCUACGUGUAGCGUCUUGACGGUACUGUGAGAAUAAGGAUCGGCUAACUCCGUGCCAGCAGCCGCGGUAAUACGGAGGAUCCAAGCGUUAUCCGGAAUCAUUGGGUUUAAAGGGCCCGUAGGCGGUUUGGUAAGUCAGUGGUGAAAGCCCAUCGCUCAACGGUGGAACGGCCAUUGAUACUGCCAGACUUGAAUUAUUAGGAAGUAACUAGAAUAUGUAGUGUAGCGGUGAAAUGCUUAGAGAUUACAUGGAAUACCAAUUGCGAAGGCAGGUUACUACUAAUGGAUUGACGCUGAUGGACGAAAGCGUGGGUA
rnacentral:rRNA from 1 species